GGUCAUGGCUCAGUGGUAGAGUGCUUGCCUAGCAUGUGUGAGGCCCUGGGUUCCCAGCACCA
rnacentral:tRNA from 1 species